CCUACGGGAGGCUGCAGUGAGGAAUAUUGGUCAAUGGGCGCAAGCCUGAACCAGCCAUGCCGCGUGCAGGAAGACGGUCCUAUGGAUUGUAAACUGCUUUUAUUAGGGAAUAAACCUCUUUACGUGUAGAGAGCUGAAGGUACCAAAUGAAUAAGCACCGGCUAACUCCGUGCCAGCAGCCGCGGUAAUACGGAGGGUGCAAGCGUUAUCCGGAAUCAUUGGGUUUAAAGGGUCCGCAGGCGGUCUUAUAAGUCAGUGGUGAAAUCCUACAGCUCAACUGUAGAACUGCCAUUGAUACUGUAAGACUUGAAUUCGAUCGAAGUGGGCGGAAUAUGACAUGUAGCGGUGAAAUGCUUAGAUAUGUCAUAGAACACCGAUAGCGAAGGCAGCUCACUAGGUCUGGAUUGACGCUCAGGGACGAAAGCGUGGGGAGCAAACAG
rnacentral:rRNA from 1 species